rnacentral:rRNA from 1 species
UACGUAGGGGGCAAGCGUUGUCCGGAUUCAUUGGGCGUAAAGAGCGUGUAGGCGGCCAGGUAGGUCGGUUGUGAAAACUGGAGGCUCAACCUUCAGAGGUCGACCGAAACCAUCUGGCUAGAGUCCGGGAGAGGAGAGUGGAAUUCCUGGUGUAGCGGUGAAAUGCGCAGAUAUCAGGAAGAACACCCGUGGCGAAAGCGGCUCUCUGGAACGGUACUGACGCUGAGACGCGAAAGCGUGGGGGGCGAACAGG